AUGAACGCUGGCGGCGCGCCUAAUACAUGCAAGUCGAGCGAGAAGACGUAGCAAUACGUUUGUAAAGCGGCGAACGGGUGAGGAAUACAUGGGUAACCUACCCUAGAGUGGGGAAUAACUAGCCGAAAGGUUAGCUAAUACCGCGUACGCUCCUUGGACUUCGGUUCAGGGAGGAAAGCGAUGCCGAGGGUAUCGCGCUCUUGGAUGGGCUCAUGUCCUAUCAGCUUGUUGGGAGGUAACGGCUCACCAAGGCUUCGACGGGUAGCUGGUCUGAGAGGACGAUCAGCCACACUGGCACUGCGACACGGGCCAGACUCCUACGGGAGGCAGCAGUAAGGAAUAUUGCGCAAUGGGCGAAAGCCUGACGCAGCGACGCCGC
rnacentral:rRNA from 1 species